CCCUUAGAUGUUCUGGGCCGCACACGCGCUACACUGAAGGAGGCAGCGUGUACUCCUGGAUCGAAAGAUUUGGGUAACCCGCGAAUCUCCUUCGUGCUAGGGAUUGAGGUUUGCAAUUAUCCUUCAUGAACGAGGAAUUCCCAGUAAGUGCAAGUCAUAAGCUUGCGCUGACUACGUCCCUGCCCUUUGUACACACCGCCCGUCGCUACUACCGAUUGAAUGAUUUAGUGAGGACUUCGGACUGGGACCGAUGCGGCUUUCGGGCUGCGUCGGUAUUCUGGAAAGAUGUCCAAACUGUAUCAUUUAGAGGAAGUAAAAGUCGGAACA
rnacentral:rRNA from 1 species